rnacentral:snoRNA from 1 species
CCAACGCUUUCAUGGGUACUUCCUCAGGCUGGGACCAGGAUUCAGUAGCUGACACUGAGAAAAAACACUUAAUGGCAUCCUUGCCCUGGGACUUUGCCAGUGACAGCUGUCACUCAAUAGGAGAGGG